rnacentral:rRNA from 1 species
AUACGUAGGGGGCGAGCGUCGUCCGGAAUUAUUGGGCGUAAAGCGCGCGUAGGCGGCCGGUUAAGUCCUGUGUGAAAGACCACGGCUCAACCGUGGGGGUGCACGGGAAACUGGCCGGCUUGAGUGCAGGAGAGGGGAGCGGAAUUCCCGGUGUAGCGGUGGAAUGCGUAGAGAUCGGGAGGAACACCAGUGGCGAAGGCGGCUCCCUGGCUUGUAACUGACGCUGAGGCGCGAAAGCGUGGGGAGCGAACAGGAUUAGAUACCCUGGUAGUCCACGCCGUAAACGAUGAGUGCUAGGUGUUGGGGGCGUCAGGCCCUCUGUGCCGAAGGAAACCCAAUAAGCACUCCGCCUGGGGAGUACGGCCGCAAGGCUGAA